AAGGAAUAUUGGUCAAUGGACGCAAGUCUGAACCAGCCAUGCCGCGUGAAGGAUGAAGGUCCUCUGGAUUGUAAACUUCUUUUAUCUGGGACGAAAACGGGAUUUUUAUCUCAAUUGACGGUACCAGAGGAAUAAGCACCGGCUAACUCCGUGCCAGCAGCCGCGGUAAUACGGAGGGUGCGAGCGUUAUCCGGAUUUACUGGGUUUAAAGGGUGCGUAGGUGGGCUUAUAAGUCAGUGGUGAAAUCUCCGAGCUUAACUUGGAAACUGCCGUUGAUACUAUAGGUCUUGAAUUAUCUGGAGGUAAGCGGAAUAUGUCAUGUAGCGGUGAAAUGCUUAGAUAUGACAUAGAACACCAAUUGCGAAGGCAGCUUACUACAUAUAAAUUGACGCUGAGGCACGAAAGCGUGGGUAGCGAACA
rnacentral:rRNA from 1 species